rnacentral:rRNA from 1 species
CCGGAGAUAGCUGGUUCUCCUCGAAAUAGCUUUAGGGCUAGCCUCGUAUUAGUCUUGCGGAGGUAGAGCACUGAAUAUCCUAGGGGGCGUCAAAGCUUACCGAAGAUUAUCAAACUCCGAAUGCCGCGUAGAUGAUGUACGGGAGUCAGACUGCACGAGAUAAGUUGGGUAGUCAAAAGGGAAAGAGCCCAGACCACCAGCUAAGGUCCCAAAGUGCGUGUUAAGUGGUAAAGGAUGUGGGAUUUCGAAGACAACUAGGAUGUUGGCUCAGAAGCAGCCAUACAUUCAAAGAGUGCGUAAUAGCUCACUAGUCGAGAGGUCCUGCGCCGAAAAUGUCCGGGGCUAAAACACGACACCGAAGCUGUGGAUCCGAAAGGAUGGUAGAGGAGCAUUCUUAAGUCGACGAAGCUGUACUGUAAGGAGCAGUGGAGAGUUAAGAAGAGAGAAUGCCGGAAUGAGUAGCGAGAUUUAAGUGAGAAUCUUAAAGGCCGAAUAUCUAAGGUUUCCAGGGUAAAGCUGAUCUUCCCUGGGUAAGUCGGGGCCUAAGGCGAGGGCGAGAGCCGUAGUCGAUGGAUAACAGGUUGAAAUUCCUGUACUGCUUAUGGACAGAACUGUGGGGACGCAGAAGGAGAGCACGAGCCGGAAAUGGAAAAGCCGGUACAAGCGUAUAGCAGUCAUGCAGGCAAAACCGCAUGAAAAAUGUAAAGCGUUAUGUGGAUCGAACAUUAGUAGAGAAGCGUGUGAGCCAGCUGCCAAGAAAAGCCGCUAUUGCUUCAUAAGUACCCGUACCGUAAACCGACACAGGUGGAUGAGGAGAGAAUCCUAAGGCCGGCGGGAGAAGUGUUGUUAAGGAACUCGGCAAAAUGACUCCGUAACUUCGGGAGAAGGAGUGCCACAGAGAUGUGGCCGCAGAGAAAUGGCCCAAGCAACUGUUUAGCAAAAACACAGGUCUAUGCAAAACCGAAAGGUGAGGUAUAUGGGCUGACGCCUGCCCGGUGCUGGAAGGUUAAGAGGAGAGGUUAGAGCAAUCGAAGCUUUGAAUUUAAGCCCCAGUAAACGGCGGCCGUAACUAUAACGGUCCUAAGGUAGCGAAAUUCCUUGUCGGGUAAGUUCCGACCCGCACGAAAGGCGUAAUGAUUUGGGCACUGUCUCAACAACACACCCGGUGAAAUUGAAAUACCAGUGAAGAUGCUGGUUACCUGCGCCAGGACGGAAAGACCCCAUGGAGCUUUACUCCAGUUUGAUACUGGGAUUCGGUACUGUCUGUACAGGAUAGGUGGGAGGCUAGGAAAUGGUGACGCCAGUUGCCAUGGAGCCAACCUUGGGAUACCACCCUUACAGUACUGGGUUUCUAACCUGCAGCCGUAACCCGGCUGGGGGACAAUGUCUGACGGGGAGUUUGACUGGGGCGGUCGCCUCCGAAAGAGUAUCGGAGGCGCUCAAAGGUUCCCUCAGAACGGUUGGAAACCGUUCGAAGAGUGCAAAGGCAGAAGGGAGCUUGACUGCGACACCGACGGGUGGAGCAGGUACGAAAGUAGGACUUAGUGAUCCGGUGGUAUAA